UGUUGGUGAUGUGGGCAAUCUUUAAGAAGAGACUUGAAUCUUUCCAUGUAUGAUAGAAAUUUUUACCUGGAUUAUGCUUGAAAUUUAAGAUCUCACUCCUCAAUCU
rfam:Capsicum annuum cultivar Zunla-1 chromosome 11, whole genome shotgun sequence